rnacentral:misc_RNA from 1 species
GAAGAAAGCGACUUUGAGCGGGCACUGGAUUGCAUAAUUAAAUUCAAGGAUAUCGUCAGUAAAUAAAACGACUUAUUAUAAUCAUGAGUUUAUCUGAUUCAGUGUUUUCAUGACUUGGAUGUCGUGAAAUAAAGCAAAUCUGCAAUUCAACUCACAGAACUCACAGCAAUUUAUACAAGCCAGCAUCAGCUGAGGUAUUUUCUUUUAUCCUUCUAAAACCAUUCCAAUCCAUGUUUCUUUUUUGAUUGGGUUUCGGCUCAAUUACCAAUUAUUUCUGUACGAACUGUGAAAGUGGAUUUUAUUGAAAUCUUGUUAAAUGUUCAUUUUGUUUUCUUCCCCUUUCACAGGGUAUACUUUCCUAACAUUGAUGGUUAUUUAUCAUUGUUCCAGAAAAAAAAGGGUAUUGCAUUUGCGUUAUUUUUGAAAUUACAUGAAUAUGGCUUUGUGAUUGUAUCAUGCACAAGUUUGAUCUAAUAGAGAUGGAUCGUUAAUUUAUAUAUAAUUUAGAAAGAUGUUUACUGUGAAAAUUAGGCUCUUAUGUAUAAUUUUUACUUCGAUAUCAAUUUUACUCUAAGUUGUGCAUAUAUAUCAUCUGUCACAACCACAAUUAUGUGAAACUCUUUUUUCAUAUUUUUUUAUAUUACAAGGAGGGUUCAAAUUUUUAUGAGUAAGGGAUCAUUUGCUAAAUUGUAUAUGCACUAUAUUUGAAAAAAAAAAAGUUCUGGAACGUUCUUGAAAACGUAUCCAUUGUGUUUUGUGUUAUUUCCACGUCACGCGAGAAGCAACCGAUCCUUUCUCUAGAUCACUCUUGUAGAUUUAUCUCUCUUUUCAUUUCAAUACCCACUAGAUAAAUCCAGAAGCACAUACAUACUUACCAAAUUUAUAUAAAUCCAAUCUCCCAUCUCUCCCCAUUUCUCAAAAGAAACACACAACAGACACGCUGAGUAUCUCUUUGCAAACCAAUCACCAAAACCUUCCUGUCUUGCCUUUCCAAGAAACCUUGAAUUGUGCUCACAAUAAAAGAAUGGCCAACCCAAGAUUCAAGAACAUGUCUUUGCUCAUUGCAACCUCAAUGCUUCUAUGCUUGAUGGCCACCCAAGCCAAUGCCCUAAUACCAUACACAAGGUCCCUAUGGGACAUUAUGAUGCUCCCAACAGAAGACCCCUUCAGGAUUCUCGAACAAGCCCCACUUACAAUCCCAAAAGGGGAUGAAGCUUUUGCACUUGCUAAGGCGGAUAGGAAAGAAACACCAACAUCGCAUGCUAUCUUCUUGGACAUUCCAGGGAUCAAGAAGGAUGAUAUCAAAAUUGAGGUGGAAGAGAAUAGGGUGUUGAGGAUAAGUGGAGAGAGGAAAGGAGAAGAAGAGGUUGAGGGAGAGAAAUGGCACAGGGCUGAAAGGACUAAUGGUAAGUUCUAGAGGCAGUUUAGAUUGCCUAACAACGCAGAUUUAGAUCACAUUAAGGCCUAUCUUGAAGAUUGGGUGUUGAAGAUUACUGUGCCUAAGUUUGCUGAAGAGCAGAAGAGACAGCCUAAGGAAUAAAAAAAUAAUUUAAUUUAGCCAAUGGAAAUCAAAAGCGGUGAGCGGCCACAUGUGUUUGCUUUUUCCGGCGAAAAUAUAGACAUGAAGGAGCAUAACGGUUAGCAAACAAAAGUGGAGAUGGAGAUGGAAGACAAUCAAACCCAAAUCCAAAACCCUGAAGAUAUUGAUGCUUCCAACGGAGAUACUAUUGCACAAAACCCUAAAAGUCCUGUCUCUUCCGAUUCCGACGCCGACUCGGAGGACGAGUCCCAGCAGACUGAUGAGCUUAAAACCUUGGAAGCCGAGCUUUCCACAAACCCCUCCAACUACUACCCUCAUGUCCAAUACAUAAAGCUGUUGAGGAAAAUGGGUGAGAUAGAGAAGCUGAGACAAGCGAGGGAAAAUAUGAAUGCCGUAUUUCCAUUGACCCCUGCAAUGUGGCAGGAAUGGGCUAAAGAUGAAGCCUCUCUUUCUAUUGGGGCUGAGGUUUUUUCAGUGGUUGAGAAGCUUUAUGAGCGAGGAGUAUUGGAUUAUCUGUCUAUCCCUCUUUGGUGUGACUACUUGAAUUAUAUACAAGAAUGUGAUCCUUUGGUGCGUGAAUGUUCUUCUGAUGGCAUUUCAAAGGCCAGAAAUAUUUUUGAGCGUGCUAUAACUGCUGCUGGUUUGCAUGUUGCUGAAGGCAAUAAAAUAUGGGAAGAAUAUAGGGAAUUUGAGCAGGCUUUAUUAUGUACCAUUGAAGAGGCUGACACCAAGGCAAAGGAAGCGCAGGUCCAGCGGAUUCGAGGUAUUUUCCACCGUCAAUUAUCUGUCCCACUUCUUAACUUGAGGUCAACACUCCUAGCCUACAAGGCUUGGGAAGUGGAACAAGGGAAUGUUCCAGGUGCUGAAUCAAGUGACAUCGAUGGGAUUCCUUCUCAUGUUGCUUCUGCUUACCAAAAGGCCAUGGAAAUGUAUAAUGCUCGUGUUCAGUAUGAAGAACAGGUUUCUAAACAGGAUAUAUCUGAAACUGAAAAACUUCAGAAUUUCAUGAACUACUUAAAAUUUGAAAAGUCUGCAGGUGAUCCAGCUCGUGUUCAAGUUUUAUAUGAACGUGCUAUUACUGAUUUUCCUAUAUCAAAUGAUUUGUGGCUGGAUUAUACUCGCUAUUUGGACAAGACCUUGAAGGCAGGAAAUGUUGUAAGAGAUGUUUACUUGAGGGCCACAAGAAAUUGUCCCUGUGUUGGAGAACUUUGGGUUAGGUAUUUGCUUACCUUGGAACGAGGUCGUGCUUCUGAAAAAGAGAUAUCUGGCGUCUUUGCAAAGUCCCUUCAAUGCACUUUUUCGACACUUGAAGAGUACCUAGAUUUAUUUCUCACGCGGAUAGAUGGCUUGAGACGAAGAAUUUUGUUUGGCAGUGAAGCAGAGAAUGUCUUGAAUUAUUCAUUGAUAAGGGAGACCUUUCAGUUUGCAUCAGAUUAUUUAUCACCACAACUAAAGAACUCGGAUGGUUUGCUUCGUCUGCAUGCUUAUUGGUCCCUUUUAGAGCUGAAUUUGGGAAAAGAUUUAGUGGCAGCCCGCGGAGUUUGGGAGAGCUUGCUUAAGAUCAGUGGUUCAAUGUUGGAAGCUUGGCAAGGUUAUAUAGCAAUGGAAAUUAAAUUGGGUCACAUAAAAGAAGCAAGGUCCAUCUAUAAGAGAUGCUAUAGUAAAAGGUUUCCUGGGACAGGCUCUGAGGUAUGCUUGCUUCUUUGAACUGCCAUCCUCUUUCUCUGUGUAAUUUAUUUUUGACCUUUUAGCCUGUUAAUUGCACUUGUAUUUUGUAAAAAGCUGUUGAAAUAGCUAAAAAUAUCCCUAUGAAACUCACUCCUUUUAAUCCUUUUUCUCACAUUAUGAAGCAGCAAAAUGUAAAUGAAAGCAAAGAGAAUUUUGAAAUCAUAUAGCCAAGAUCAGAAAAUUUUCAUUACUAAUGCAGCUUGUUUCUGCAUUGAAGGUUUAGAAAUCAAUUUAUAAGGGUUAGCAACAAUACUGGUAGUUAACUUUUCUUUGUCUUGCAAUGGUGGAGGAAUUUCAAUUUGACUUGAUUAGCCCCUUGGUUUUAGAAUUUGGAAUUGAAGAUAUUUUGUUAAAGGCUUGAAACCAUAUUUUAUUUAGGAGUCAACACCAAAGGAAUGAAAGUUUUGCCUUUACUGACUACUAAGCACCAUAGAAGAAACCACUUCACAACUAAAGCUCAAAUUAUGCCAAAUGUAACUUGCUAAAAAGUAUAUAGCUUCCUUGGGAUUAUGUUUUAGGUUAUGGGAGGUGAACUCUGAUAUUAAUAUUCAUCCUUUCUGCUGUUUUACAAUUACUGAGAUGUGUGUUUAAAGUCUUGCUCCUUGUUUAAUGGUGAGGAGCAUUUACUUCACAAAGAUAUCAAUUUAUAAUGUAAAAUAAAUAAUCUGUUGGCCUAAUGUAACCUCCUGAAAGAAGAAUUAUGGUCUUAGGUUAAAACCAUGAGCAUCCUUUCUCCUUAUUUGGGGUUUUGGCAGUGCUGGUGUGGAUUAUCAUAUGGGUAGGUGAAGGGGCUUCUACAAAAGCUUUGCACAUAGAGUGUGUGCAUGUAUCAGGACAUGAAAGAAAAGAUCAAUCAUGCUAUAGUAAGAACUAUAUUGUUUCUUCUUCUUUUCUUGCCGUGUUGAGUAGUCAUAUUCUGUUGGCUGUUAAUAUUGUUUUGGGGCUCUGAGUUCUAUGGAGGUUUUAUUAAAAAUCUAUAAACUGUGUUGUGGAUUAGAUGAUAUCUUCCUUCCUAAUUAACAGAAUCAUUCAGGACAUUUGCCACUGUUGGUUGCGCUUUGAGAGGGAAUUUGGUACUCUGGAAGAUUUUGACCACGCUUUGCAAAAGGUUACCCCUCGUCUGGAAGAGCUACAAUUAUAUAGGAUGCAACAGGAAUCAAAAGCAUUUGCUGCAUCAACAGAGCAGAAAGACAAUCCAAUUAAGAAAAAUGUUCGUGAAAAGAGAAAGGGAGGUCAAGAAUCUACUGAUGAACAGUCUCCAGCAAAGAGGCAAAAACCAACAGCUCAAACCCAAAAUAAAGGGUAUGAGAAAAAUAAAGAUCAAGCACAAAAUCCAGCUGAAGUAACUGAAGAAAAAGAGGUCAAAGCCAGUGUUGAAAAGGCAGAUAGCAUCCUUGAAAAACAGCAGAAAGACUCUGACACUGGGAGAAACAAAGUAUAUACAGACCAAUGCACUGCAUUUAUAUCAAAUAUUAAUCUAAAGGCAAAUUCUGAAGAUUUGCGUAAAUUCUUCAGUGAUGUUGGUGGGGUUGUUUCUAUUCGGAUACUGCGUGAUAAGUUUAGUGGAAAAUCCAGGGGACUGGCAUAUGUAGACUUUUCAGAUGAUGAACAUCUAGCUGCAGCCAUAUCAAAGAACAAGCAGAUGUUACUUGGGAAGAAGCUAAGCAUUGCACGUUCAGAUCCUAAUCAAAGAAAAAAAGAUGGUCGUAAUGUUUUGAAGCAACACACACACUCUACUGACCGAAGUGGUAACAAGGGGGAAUUUGCGUCUAAAAUGUCUGAUGAAACUUCCAAGGAAUCCAAGGUACCAGAGACAACAAACUUUGCUUCUUAUAAGCGAGAUGACAACAUCCAGCUCAAGGGCAAGAGUACAUUUUUAGUACCAAGAAAUGUGAAGAUGAACAAACCUAAAACCGUGGAAGAGGGAGAUGAGCAGCCAAAGUCCAAUGAUGAGUUCAGAAAAUUGUUUAUUAAAGAUUGAGGUUUGAUCAUCUUACAAUUUGCUAAAGGAAUCGAUGGAAAAAUAGCUCCAAACGUUUUUGGUAUAACUAUGUACAAGAAGUAAACACUUGUUUUAGGAUGAAGAAAUAGUUUCCUACCUUACUGCUUGCUGAGGUACUAAAAUCUCUUUAGGCUGUGAAGCCCAGCAUUCUAAACAUAGAACUGAUCUUCUGGGAUUAUGUUGGUUGUAGGAUAAAUGUAUUUCUUGUCAUGAAAUCUGUCUAAUAUGCUUGUGCCCUUGAUUCGGUUGUGCAUUGUUGAUAUAUCAAGUAACUACUGAGGAUAAAUAUUCUUUUUUUUAAA